UACGAAGGGGGCAAGCGUUGUUCGGAAUUACUGGGCGUAAAGGGCUCGUAGGCGGCCAACUAAGUCCGACGUGAAAUCCCAAAGCUUAACUUUGGAACUGCGUCGGAUACUGGAUGGCUUGAAUUCGGGAGAGGGAUGCAGAAUUCCAGGUGUAGCGGUGAAAUGCGUAGAUAUCUGGAGGAAUACCGGUGGCGAAGGCGGCAUCAUGGACCGACAUUGACGCUGAGGAGCGAAAGCUAGGGGAGCAAACGGG
rnacentral:rRNA from 1 species